GACGAACGCUGGCGGCGUGCUUAACACAUGCAAGUCAAGGGGGCCCGACGCAAUGGGCGAACCGGCGAACGGGUGCGUAACACGUGAGCAACCUACCGAAAUGUGGGGGAGUAGCCGGCCUAACGGCCGAGUAAUACCGCAUACGCUUUCCGAGAGGCAUUUCUUGGAAAGGAAACCUACGGGACAUUUCGAGGGGCUCGCGGCCUAUCAGCUAGUUGGCGAGGUAACGGCUCACCAAGGCAACGACGGGUAGCGGUCUGAGAGGAUGGCCAGCCACAUUGGGACUGAGAUACGGCCCAGACU
rnacentral:rRNA from 1 species